GACGAACGCUGGCGGCGUGCUUAGCACAUGCAAGUCGAACGGAAAGGCCCUGCUUUUGUGGGGUGCUCGAGUGGCGAACGGGUAAGUAACACGUGAGUAACCUGCCCUUGACUUUGGGAUAACUUCAGGAAACUGGGGCUAAUACCGGAUAGGAGCUCCUGCUGCAUGGUGGGGGUUGGAAAGUUUCGGCGGUUGGGGAUGGACUCGCGGCUUAUCAGCUUGUUGGUGGGGUAGUGGCUUACCAAGGCUUUGACGGGUAGCCGGCCUGAGAGGGUGACCGGCCACAUUGGGACUGAGAUACGGCCCAGACUCCUACGGGAGGCAGCAGUGGGGAAUAUUGCACAAUGGGCGGAAGCCUGAUGCAGCAACGCCGCGUGCGGGAUGACGGCCUUCGGGUUGUAAACCGCUUUCGCCUGUGACGAAGCGUGAGUGACGGUAAUGGGUAAAGAAGCACCGGCUAACUACGUG
rnacentral:rRNA from 1 species